AGAAGGACAAAGGCUUUUACUUUACUAAGUUAUUUUAGAUAAUAAAAAUUUCAAAUUAAUGAUUAGAAUCGCUAAAAUUAAUUUAGAAUAUGUAAAGUGUCUAGAAGCUAAAUUUUAUAAAUUUUAAAAAUUAUUUACGUAGUGAUCAAAGAAUCACAAAAUUGACAGUUUUUUAUAGCCUAUAUGAGCUGUUUGCUUGUUUAACGACGUAGAACAAUCCAAACAUCUUGAAUUUGUGAUAGAAAAUUGUUUAUACUAUUUAAAUAAAGUUUGAUAAUUUUGAUAAUGAAUUGAAAAAAUCUAAUUUCUAUUUUUACAAGGUUAUUCAUUUUUUACUAUUUAUUUUUCGACUCUUCAAUGAACUUGAUAACGAAUUUUAAAAUAUAUAAAAUUUAGUUUCUAGAUAUUAUAAAUACUUUAACGGUUUUAAUCAUCGAUUCGGAAUUCCUAUCAUCGAAAACGACGUGAAGGACAAAGACCUCCGUCCUCCUAAAAGAAUAGUAUCUGGGCUCUAUUUUUUAAAUAAGAUUACAAAAUU
rnacentral:lncRNA from 1 species